CUUGGUGGUUCUUGCAGUGGGGGUACACCUGUUCCCUUCCCGAACACAGCAGUUAAGUCCACGAGCGCCGAUGAUAGUCGCAAGGCAAAAGUAGGUCGCCGCCAAGA
rnacentral:rRNA from 1 species